UUAUCUGGUAUGACAGCUAGCUAAAGGAUCUCAGUGUAAUUGGAGCUCAACCUGCUGAAUUAGGAAAUCUUGCUCAUUUGUGAAAAAUUUCAUCUGGUAUUUUACUCUCUCGAUUGUGAUAGUACUUGAUCUCCAAAGCAACAACCUAGAAUUACAUGGAGAGUGAAGAUUUAGGUGAUACCUCAAUUAAGAGGAAUUCCUAUCAUUCUAGCCAAAAAAGGAAAAGCAAAUCGACAUCUGAUGAAGUGAUAAACUAUAACAAUAAUGAUACAAUCAUUAUAAAUCCAGCAGAUCCCUUAGUUACUACUUCAAAAAAAAAGGUAUUACAAAAGGUCCUAAGAGAAAAAAAUAUUGGUACUGUACACUAUCUGACGAACAAAAAAAAAAGAUUUAUGUAAGAAAAGGAGAGAAGCAUAUGCACAAAAGAAAGCUCUUGCAAAAGAAGAAAACACAAACAACCAAUGUGUUAGAGGACAACAAAAGAGAGCAGAGCAUUGGUAUUCGUGUAGUGCAUUAUCUGAGGAAAGGAAAAGAGAAAUUUGCAAGAUAAGAAGGGAAGCAUAUGCACAAAGAAUAGCUCUUCCAAAAGAAGCUAUUAAGAGUGCUCAGAUCAAUUCGAUUGCAAGUAUGGAAACUUCUAAAGAAGUUGAUGCUCCCAGAAUGCACAUUUUAGUAGAAGAAGAUAUCAAUAAAUGGGGAUGUAGGAUGAAAAGAAGGCAAUGUAUUGCAACAGUUGAUGAUAGAAAUGAACAAAUGCUUAAGAAAAAAUCUAAAAUAUGUGUUGUUGAAAGUGAUAGUUGUAGAAAGUUUGUCCCAGUUAGCAAUCAUGGUAUACUGAUCAAUGAAGAUUCUCGAACAAAUAUAGAAAAUCGACGUUACCACAUGAUGCUAAAUCUAUCUGAUUGAGAAAAAAAGCAAAUUAGUGAGUAUAGCAUCUUUGAAGUUGG